AGGCUAAAAAUGGUGGAGGCAUUACAGGGGUAAAAAACAAUCGGAAGCUCAAAUCAGGAAGGAAAAAGAUAAAUUUAAACAUAGAUGCAUUGGAGGCCAUCCCACCUAGAGAGAGAACAACAUUAGAACAAGUUGCUGGACAUCUAAACUUGUGAACUACCACUGUUUGGAGGAGGUUGAAGAUGAAGGAAAUUCGACGAAUAACAAGUGAAUUGAAGCCCGCCUUGACUGAUGCAAACCAAAGGGCUCGUCUGGAGUAUGCUCUUAUGCAUCUUGAACCAUGUAGCAUAACAUCCCUAGGUGGUAUUAAUCCCACAUUUAGGGCUGAUAUGGAUGUGGUUCAUAUAGAUGAGAAAUGGUUUUAUCGCACGCGGAAGACCCAGAACAUGUAUUUGAGUCAUAGAGAGGAGGCACCACACCGGGAAUGUAAAAAUAAAAGCCACAUUCCGAAAAUUAUGUUCUUGUCCGCAAUGGCUAGACCAAGGUAUGAUGCUCAAGGCAAUUGUGUGUUUGAUGGCAAGAUAGGGGUUUGGGCUUACACAGAGUGGGUGCAAGCUAAAAAGAGAAGUCAGAAUAGGUUGAGGGGGUCAUGGGAGUUGAAGCCUGCAGAUACAGUGGACAGGGAGAAAAGUCGGGAGUACUUAGUGAAAUACGUACUGCCGGCUAUAAAGGAGAAGUGGCCUGAGAGCGAUAGAUGGAAUACCAUCUACGUACAGCAGGACAAUGCUAAGACUCAUAUAAAACCAGAUGAUCCACUUUUUUUGCAGGAAGCUGCUAGGGGUGGUUGGGAUAUUAGGAUGAUAUACCAACCACCUAAUUCUCCUGACACAAACAUAUUAGAUCUUGGUUGGUUUGCCUCAAUUCAAGCAAUGUUCCAUAGAAAGAUGCCCAAGACCCUACUCGAGAUUGUCCAAAAGGUUAAUCAAUCCCUAGCUGAGUACCCCCAUCAAAGGCUCAAUAGGAUCUGGUUGAGUCAUCAAGCGUGCAUGAGAGAGAUCAUCAAGCACAAGGGGUCUAUCCACUAUGCUGUUCCUCACUUGAAGAAAAAAGCACUAGAGAGACAAGGUCUUCUCCAGGUUCGUUUGACGAUUGACAGAGAAUAUGUCGAGCAGGCAAUUCAGUACUUGAACUCAACAUGAGUUGUAACAUUAGCAUUGACAGAGAAUACUGUCUUUGAAAGUUUGUUUACAAUGCAAUAUUGGGACUGUCUUUUGCA